CCCUUUUCAGUUAUGAUGGAACGGAUGUUUCCUUGAUGAUAAUAAUUACUCAGCAAAUGACAGGUCCGGGUAGAAGAGGAAGCUACGUUUCCAAUAUACUGUAUCAAAAUUUCUCUGAGCUCAGUCAGUACAAAAUGACAACAGUACAGCAACCACAAUCAUAGAAACAAAAUGGUCAUAAAGUUUAAUUAUCAAAUCAGUACAUUUGUACAACAAUUAAACUUUGCUGUACAGUAUUCUACAGGAACAAGCUAGAAGCCACAUCAGUUACCAGUGUCACCGGAGCUAGACUCAAUUGUCCUGUAUUAGGUUUAGACAGAUACUGUAUAACUGGAAACACUGUGGUAAAUGGUAUUUGUAUACUAACCAGUAGCCUGUCCAAUGCAUUGAUGCAUAGCUAUGUGUAGGCCUGCAUGAAAGUUAACAUUUUAGUACAAAACUUCAUGUUUUCUCAGACUUACAGUACAAAGCGAUCAAGUCCAUAGGUCUGCUCAUUUGUCUAAAAAGUCAAAACAUUGGUAUAACUAUAGAUUUUGUAUUUUAUGGAAUACACUUUUAAGAGUCAUGUUAGAUUGCUGUAACUGAUGAGAUUUUGUGAGAUUUAUCUCUUUGAAAGUAGUAUUUCUGUAUUCCUUGCUUGUAAACUGCUUAAUUUCUCAAAGAAAAAAAAGACAAGCUUUCUUAAUAUGUAACUUUGCUUUUGUUGAUCCAAAUCUAUUGAGCCUUAAAGGACCAAAUCAUAAAAAAUGUGUUGUUUUAGGGUUGUUUUCCAAUCUGUGAAUAAAUGAAUGAAGAAAACCACUGUACUAACUUGCUUCAUGUCAAGGGGAUGGCUAUUAAUCAAGGUGUGGGAAUGAAUACACAGAUAAGGUUCCCAUCAUGAAUCUCUUUUUCUUUUUGAAUGGCUCAUAUUGAUUUCCUGCCUCUCCUCAAAUUAACUGGAGAGAAAAGCCAUAUCAACCUGUGAUUGUCAAGUUUGCUCGUCGCUACCUGCCUCUCUCACUCUCCUCUCCCUCUCUUGCCACAGACACACUCCCAGGUGGAGCUUGCAGCUGAGGUGCAUCAGCUAAUUAUGGGGCUGAACAAAUGGGCAGGUGGAGAGACUUAACCAGGAGGUAGAGGAUGAUCGCUGCUGCAUUACUGCAACUGAACCAAAUGCAUUGAGCAUUCUGCUGCUAUGGAUGGAGUACCCUCAACUCAGUCACCAGCUCAGCCUCUGGUCUGUCCCCCUUUGAGGCCUCUCUGAGGUAUCAACCACCAUUACUGGCUGAGGAAGAGAUAGACAUGGUAGUUCCAUCCAUUCAGGCCCAUAUCCACCGCUGCCAACAGAUCUGGAAGGAGACUGUAGCAGCCCUUACCCAUACGUCAGAAAAUUGCCUCCUAGCUGACCGCCAUCAACGGGCAGCACUAACUUAUGAGAUCCAUCAGGUUUCCUCCAGCCCUCUUUGCCCUCCGCCUUCUCUCUCUCCUCCUGCUCUUGAGGUGGAUAGUGGCCCUGCAUACUCCAUCCGACGCAUCCUGGACAUGCACCCACAGGGCUGGGGCUAUCAGUACCUGGUUGAUUGGGAGGGCUACAGGCCAUAGGAACAUUCCUGGAUCCCUCAGUCCUAUAUCUUGGACCCACGCAUGAUUUGGGAGUUCCAUCAAGAUCACUGUAACAAGCCAGACACACUCCCAGGUGGAGCUUGCAGCUGAGGUGCAUCAGCUGAUUAUGAGGCUGAGUACGUAGGAGCCAGUCAAUGCUGCCAGUUCGUCGUUCAACCCCUACCAUGAAGUUUGGCUGUGGAAGAAGUUACGAUUUUCUGUUUUGUGUUUCUACAAUGAUUGCUAUUCAAGUAAGACUGUUUCAAGAUUUUCUGCAAUUCAGCUUCCUGUGUAGUUCUCAGCCUGUCUCUGGGGCUACGUUUUUUGCUGUUAUCUGCUAGCUCAAGCCACAGCACUCAGCUACACUACUUCUGUAGUGUGUCUCCUGCAUCGGCACCAUUCUGUCUGGGCCAAUCCUUCGCCACAUCUUUCAGCUCUGCCUCAAACACUGUUGUCAACUACCCCCUUCUGCAGCAGCUUCUCACCGGUCAGACACAUCCUAUCUGGGUCGCUCCUCAGCUGUUAAUUCCAUACCAAGCCUCCACCAAAGCCCUCAUCUACACUACUUUCAGCAGUUACCCACCUCUGUCCAGGCUCCAUUCCUCUCUGGCUGCACCCAGCUACUACUUCCAGUCUUGACCCAGCUAUAGUUCCCAGUACUCAUCACCCCUGUCCUCUACCAGCCACCAGAGCUCACGUGACAAGGCCCCUGCUCUUCGUGACGCUAACACCUAUUCAACUCUUUCUCGCUCUCCCAGGAACUCGAAUUUGGCUUUCUGCCUCCACUGCCAGAGUAACUACUGGCACAAGUAACUUCAGACUGUCUUUGACCAUCCUGAUCAUCAGGGCAGUGCAGUGAGAGCUAAUGACAAUGCAUCAAGGGUCCCUCAGUGUCACGAAGUAUACAGUGGAGUUCUGGGUGUUGGCUGCAGAGGCUGGCUGGGAUGAGAAAGUCCUCCGGGGUGCUUACUGGCAUGGGUUACAGGACAACAUUAAGUAUUAAUUAGCAACCAGGGACAAAACCGCCAACUUCAAUGCCCUAGCUAACCUGGCCAUUAAACUUGAUAACUGCACCCAGACAGCAAAUGGCUAGCCCCCAGACUGGUUCCACCCUGUCUCAUUCAAUGCCCAAGGAGGAACCAAUGCAAUUGGGAAGAACAUGCUUCACUCCACAAGAACGAGCAUGGCGGAGGUGAACUGGAGCCUGCAUAUAUUGUGGUAGCCUGGAUCAUCGUAUGGAGGAGUGCAAGAGACCUGCCAAAAGGAGAGACCAUCAGUGAGUAUGGGUGCUGGCAGGCAAGCCAAAAACCAACACCACUAAGAAAUCCACAAGCCUAGAGAUGCAAGUCGUUCUGAGCGCCCCCAGCCAGUGUCUUUGACCGCACUAGUGGACUUCGAGGCUGGUGAAAAUUUGAUGGACAUGGAGCUAGUUAAAAUUACAACUCACACAAACCCUUAAAGCGAAGCCUGGAGGCACAUUCUAUUGAUGGAGGGUUGUUGGCCUAUAUCACCCACCAAACUCCUCCCAUCCAGAUAAUGGUGGCCAGCAAUCCACUGACCACACAGUUUAAAAUCCUGCGGUCUCCUCAGACUCCUGUUGUCUAACACCCAUUCAACUCUUUCUUGCUUUUCCAGGAACUAGUUUGGCUUUCUGCCUCCACUGCCAGAGUAACUACCAACGUGAGUAACUGGGCCUCCAUCCAUUCUUCAGCCUGGGUUGAAGCAAGCACCUUCUUCCCAUGUUCCACCUGUUGCUAGCCUUAAUUGUAAUAAACCCCUGUUAACCUGUUGUCAAUA